UAUAUAUAUAUAUAUUUAAUUUAAAAAUGAUAGCCUCCAAAGUUCCCUGCACCGUUCCGACGCUAAUUCGUUAUUCGACCGAGUAGAACUGUAAAUUUGUAAACCCUCGAUUUAGGGUUUAUAUCUCGUUCGUUCUUCAAUCUCGUCAUCUUCUUUUUCUCCGGCGACAAUGGCGAACGAGCAACGGCAAUCGUCAGAACCCUGGACCCUCGAAACAGUACCUUUCAUUAUUCUUAUCCUCAUAGCAUCUCACAUCUUGGCUUUGGUAUAUUGGAUUUAUAGGUUAGCAACUCAAAAACAACCUCCAAGGAGGAAGGCACACUGAGUUACUGUACGAUUCGUUCUUGAAGAAAUUUUAGUGGAACCUUAGUUCAUUAUUUGUUAUGAUUUAUGUCACUGAUGUUGAGGAGGCAGUCGUAAAAAGAAGCUAUAUAUCUAUGUUUCUCUGUGAACAUUAGAGUUGAUUUGACUUUACCCUCAACAGGAUACUUGUAUUGUCAUCCAUACCUUUCCUGAGAUAUCUAGUCCAUAUACUGUUUGGCUGCAAUGUUGAAUGAUGGAGAAGCUGGAGCAAGGUAUUUACACAUAACGCCAGCCAUGGUGUGUUUCUUCAUAUGGGUGCUCAUAAUUGUCAUUACUCAUGAUCACCAUUUUGUUGUAUUCUUUUUGCUGCUUAUACAGCCUAGGAUUAGAGAUAAAUUUGGGAGUUUGCCUAGUUGUCGAUGAAGGACAUGAAAAUAAUAAAUAAAUGAUUUCAAGCCAUGACAUUUUUAGGCUAGACACUAAACACCCGUGAAUAUCAAAAGAAAAUUUUUAGGUUUUGAUUUUGCCUUUCCUCUCGAACAUCCACUCAAUGAAAGUACCUUUCUCCA